rnacentral:rRNA from 1 species
CCUACGGAGGCAGCAGUAAGGAAUAUUGGUCAAUGGAGGCAACUCUGAACCAGCCAUGCCGCGUGCAGGAAGACUGCCCUAUGGGUUGUAAACUGCUUUUAUCCGGGAAUAAACCUGCUUACGUGUAAGUAGCUGAAUGUACCGGAAGAAUAAGGAUCGGCUAACUCCGUGCCAGCAGCCGCGGUAAUACGGAGGAUCCAAGCGUUAUCCGGAUUUAUUGGGUUUAAAGGGUGCGUAGGCGGCCUGUUAAGUCAGGGGUGAAAGACGGUAGCUCAACUAUCGCAGUGCCCUUGAUACUGAUGGGCUUGAAUGGACUAGAGGUAGGCGGAAUGAGACAAGUAGCGGUGAAAUGCAUAGAUAUGUCUCAGAACACCGAUUGCGAAGGCAGCUUACUAUGGUCUUAUUGACGCUGAGGCACGAAAGCGUGGGGAUCAAACAGGAUUAGAUACCCUGGUAGUCCACGCCCUAAACGAUGAACACUCGCUGUUGGCGAUACACAGUCAGCGCAGAGAAGAGUAGUGUCNCGNGGAGACGCCGCGAGAGAGACAANAGAGUAGAGNGNGAGAGNGCGAGGACGACGACGAGGGAGAGG